GUGGGAGAGCCACAGCCACAAUUUUUGUGUGGCCAGGCAGAAUGACCCACUACACCAUGCCACAGGAGAAGUCCCCUGUAGGAUCCAGCAGCUGGCUCUCUCUGUUUUUUCUGUCUGCAGACCAGAAAUUAUUCCAGCUUUCCAUGUGGACAGUCACAGCUGAGGAAGGGUUGGUUGUCUCUGAUGGACACGGCAGCUGGAGGAGGUGUCUGCUGCCCAGGAUACCUGGUAGCAGAAGGGAAGCAGCAUGCACAAGGUCUCACCAGUGGGAAAAGAUGGGCACUCCUCCUCAUCUGCAACUUGCAAAUUAUUUUACCACAAAUGAGGUGAGAAACUUCAUGGGCCGAGAAAAAAGUUGCAUCAA